GAAGAUGUGAUGUCAGGGUUAUUGAUGAAGUUUGAAAAAUAUUUUUUUAAAGAUAAUAAUUUAGUUGGUUGGCUUAAAAUAACCAAAGUUUUGAUAUUGUCCAUGCUUUUCAAAUUCUGUGAAUUUUUUGCAUUAUUAAGCCCUGUUUGUCAUCCUUUAAAAUUUUAAAUUGUUUAUUACAGUAUCAUUUUUCAUCACACAUUUACAUAAUAAAAAUUUUUUUUCUGUAUACAAGGAAUAAUCUCACAAAUUCCAUAGGGCACUCACAUGGGGUGGGCCCCUUGUGAAUAUUUUAUUUCAAUGAACCUCACUGCUGUGUGUAUUUUGUGAACUAUUUGUAUAAAUUCCCCUUGUACAUGUA
rnacentral:lncRNA from 1 species